UACAGCAAAGGGUGGAUGCCCAAGGUACCAAGAGCCGAUGAAGGACGCAGAAAACUGCGAAAAGCCCCGUGAAGGCGUACACAGCCUAUGAAGCGAGGAUUUCCGAAUGGGGAAACCCAACAGAGCAAACCUCUGUUACCGUGUGGUGAAUAAAAUAGUCAUACGGGGGGAUACGCCGCGAACUGAAACAUCUAAGUAGCGGCAGGAGGAGAAAGCAAAAGCGAUUGUCUUAGUAGCGGCGAGCGAAACGGCAACAGGCCAAACCGGAUUUAUCCGGGGUUACGGACUGCGUAAGGUACUUAAUAGCGUAACAGAAGCGAUUGGGAAAUCGCGCCGCAGAGGGUGAAAGCCCCGUAUGUGAAACGCGAAGAAGACCGGCAGUAUCCAGAGUAGGGCGGAACCCAUAAAAUUCUGUCUGAAGUCGGGAGGACCAUCUCCCAAGCCUAAAUACUCCUUGGUGACCGAUAGUGGAUAGUACCGUGAGGGAAAGGUGAAAAGAACCCCGGGAGGGGAGUGAAAGAGAACCUGAAACCCUUUGUUUACACUCUGCGGAAGUCCUUCGGGACAACCGCGUACUUUUUGUAGAACGGUCCGGCGAGUUACAGAUGUAUGCAAGGUUAAGGAGUCUAAGCUCCGAAGCCGAAGGGAAACCGAGUCUGAAUAGGGCGUCUAGUAUACGUAUGUAGACCCGAAACCGGGUGACCUAUCCAUGGUCAGGUUGAAGUGGUCGUAAAAGACCAUGGAGGACCGAACUCACGUCUGUUUAAAAAGGCGGAGAUGAACUGUGGAUAGCGGAGAAAUUCCAAUCGAACCCGGAGAUAGCUGGUUCUCCUCGAAAUAGCUUUAGGGCUAGCCUUGAAGGAAGUUUAGCGGAGGUAGAGCACUGAACUGGUGCGGGGCCGUAACAGGUUACCAAGCCAAAUCAAACUCCGAAUGCCGCACAAAUAUCCUCAGGAGUCAGACUACGGGAGAUAAGUUUCGUGGUCAAAAGGGAAAGAGCCCAGACCAACAGCUAAGGUCCCCAAAUUCGUGUUAAGUGGAAAAGGAUGUGAGAUUUCACAGACAACUAGGAUGUUGGCUCAGAAGCAGCCACUCAUUCAAAGAGUGCGUAACAGCUCACUAGUCGAGAGGUCUUGCGCCGAAAAUACACGGGGCUUAAACACGAUACCGAAGCUAUGGAUUUCAUCAAUAGAUGAAGUGGUAGAGGAGCAAAUUGCGAUAGGAUGAAGCUUGCGCGCAAGCAAGGGCGGACGAGGCAAUUGAGAGAAUGCCGGAAUGAGUAGCGAGAUAUAUGUUAGAAUCAUAUAGGUCGAAUGUCUGAGGAUUCCUGGGUAAAGCUGAACUUCCCAGGGUAAGUCGGGACCUAAGGCGAGGCCGAAAGGCGUAGUCGAUGGACAACAGGUAAAAAUUCCUGUACUUCUUAUAAACAGAAAUGAGGGGACACAGGGGGCUAACCAAACCGUGGAACGGCAAGACACGGCUAAGCGUAAAGUUUUCGCGCGAGGAAAAUCCCGCGCGAGUAUACGAAACGUUAUAGGGAGCGAACUAUAGUAGCGAAGUUGGUGAAGCCGCACUGUCAAGAAAAGCCUCUAUUGCUUUAUAAGAACCCGUACCGCAAACCGACACAGGUAGACGAGGAGAAAAUCCUAAGACCGGCGGGAGAAGCAUUGUUAAGGAACUCGGCAAAAUGACCCCGUAACUUCGGGAUAAGGGGAACCGCGGGAAACCGCGGUCACAGAAAAAAGGCUCAAGCGACUGUUUAUCAAAAACACAGGUCUAUGCUAAACCGAAAGGUGAAGAAUAUGGGCUGACGCCUGCCCGGUGCUGGAAGGUCAAAAGGAGAGGUUAGCGCAAGCGAAGCUUUGAAUUUAAGCCCCAGUAAACGGCGGCCGUAACUAUAACGGUCCUAAGGUAGCGAAAUUCCUUGUCAGGUAAGUUCUGACCCGCACGAAAGGCGUAACGAUUUGAGCGCUGUCUCAACAAUGCACCCGGUGAAAUUGAAGUGCCAGUGAAGAUACUGGCGACCUGCGACAGGACGGAAAGACCCCAUGGAGCUUUACUGUAGUUUAAUAUUGGGACUCGGUAAAAUAUGUACAGGAUAGGUGGGAGGCAGUGAAGUUUGCACGCCAGUGUAGACGGAGCCGACGGUGGGAUACCACUCUUAUUUUACUAAGUUUCUAACCAGACGCCGUAAACCGGCUCUGGGACAUUGUUAGACGGACAGUUUGACUGGGGCGGUCGCCUCCGAAAGAGUAACGGAGGCGUUCAUAAGGUAACCUCAGAAUGAUUGGAAACCAUUCAAAGAGUAUAAAGGCAAAAGGUUGCUUAACUGCGACGCCGACGGGCGGAGCAGAUACGAAAGUAGGACUUAGUGAUCCGGUGGUAAUAAGUGGGAAUGCCAUCGCUCAACGGAUAAAAGCUACCCUGGGGAUAACAGGCUUAUCUCCCCCAAGAGUUCACAUCGACGGGGAGGUUUGGCACCUCGAUGUCGGCUCAUCACAUCCUGGGGCUGAAGAAGGUCCCAAGGGUUGGGCUGUUCGCCCAUUAAAGUGGUACGCGAGCUGGGUUCAGAACGUCGUGAGACAGUUCGGUCCCUAUCCGUCGCAGGCGGAGGAAAUUUGAGAGGGUCUGUCCUUAGUACGAGAGGACCGGGAUGGACGAAUCACUGGUGUAUCUGUUGGAAACCAAUUCCAUGGCAGAGUAGCCAAAUUCGGAAAGGAUAAACGCUGAAGGCAUCUAAGCGUGAAGCCAUCCUCAAGAUGAGAUUUCCCAUGCCGCAAGGCAAUAAGGUCCCUUGCAGAACACAAGGUAGAUAGGUAAUGGGUGUAAGCGCGGCAACGCGUUCAGCUGAAUUAUACUAAUUGACCGAAGACUUGUCCU
rnacentral:rRNA from 1 species